UACAGAGGGGGCAAGCGUUGUUCGGAAUUACUGGGCGUAAAGGGCGCGUAGGCGGCCUUCUAAGUCGAACGUGAAAUCCCUGGGCUCAACCCAGGAACUGCGUCCGAUACUGGAAGGCUUGAAUCCGGGAGAGGGAUGCGGAAUUCCAGGUGUAGCGGUGAAAUGCGUAGAUAUCUGGAGGAACGCCGGUGGCGAAAGCGGCGGACUGGAUCUCUUCUGACGCUGAGGCGCGAAAGCUAGGGGAGCAAACGGG
rnacentral:rRNA from 1 species